rnacentral:rRNA from 1 species
GAUGAACGCUGGCGGCGUGCCUAAUACAUGCAAGUCGAGCGAACAGAUAAGGAGCUUGCUCCUUUGACGUUAGCGGCGGACGGGUGAGUAACACGUGGAUAACCUACCUAUAAGACUGGGAUAACUUCGGGAAACCGGAGCUAAUACCGGAUAACAUAUUGAACCGCAUGGUUCAAUAGUGAAAGGCGGCUUUGCUGUCACUUAUAGAUGGAUCCGCGCCGUAUUAGCUAGUUGAUAAGGUAACGGCUUACCAAGGCAACGAUACGUAGCCGACCUGAGAGGGUGAUCGGCCACACUGGAACUGAGACACGGUCCAGACUCCUACGGGAGGCAGCAGUAGGGAAUCUUCCGCAAUGGGCGAAAGCCUGACGGAGCAACGCCGCGUGAGUGAUGAAGGUCUUCGGAUCGUAAAACUCUGUUAUCAGGGAAGAACAAAUGUGUAAGUAACUGUGCACAUCUUGACGGUACCUGAUCAGAAAGCCACGGCUAACUACGUG